UACGAAGGGGGCUAGCGUUGUUCGGAUUAACUGGGCGUAAAGCGCGCGUAGGCGGGUUUUUAAGUCAGGGGUGAAAUCCCAAGGCUCAACCUUGGAACUGCCUUUGAUACUGGAAAUCUUGAGUCCGGGAGAGGUGAGUGGAACUGCGAGUGUAGAGGUGAAAUUCGUAGAUAUUCGCAAGAACACCAGUGGCGAAGGCGGCUCACUGGCCCGGUACUGACGCUGAGGUGCGGAAGCGUGGGGAGCAAACAGG
rnacentral:rRNA from 1 species